rnacentral:rRNA from 1 species
UACGGAGGGUGCAAGCGUUGUCCGGAAUCACUGGGCGUAAAGCGCACGCAGGCGGUCUGUUAAGUUUGGAGUGACAGUUGGUGGCUUAACUGCCAAAGUGCUUCGAAAACUGACAGACUUGAGGGCUUCAGAGGGACACGGAAUUCCGGGUGGAGUGGUGAAAUGCGUAGAUAUUGGGAAGAACACCGGUGGCGAAGGCGGCUCACUGGCCCGAAACUGACGCUCAUGCACGACAGCGUGGGGAUCAAACAGG